rnacentral:rRNA from 1 species
AGAGUUUUAUCAUGGCUCAGAUUGAACGCUGGCGGCAGGCUUAACACAUGCAAGUCGAACGGUAACAGAAGGGUGCUUGCACUUUUGCUGACGAGUGGCGGACGGGUGAGUAAUGCUUGGGAAUUUGCCUUAUGGUGGGGGACAACAGUUGGAAACGACUGCUAAUACCGCAUAAUCUCUUCGGAGCAAAGCAGGGGACCUUUGGGCCUUGCGCCAUAAGAUGAGCCCAAGUGGGAUUAGCUAGUUGGUAAGGUAAUGGCUUACCAAGGCGACGAUCCCUAGCUGGUCUUAGAGGAUGACCAGCCACACUGGAACUGAGACACGGUCCAGACUCCUACGGGAGGCAGCAGUGGGGAAUAUUGCACAAUGGAGGAAACUCUGAUGCAGCCAUGCCGCGUGUGUGAAGAAGGCUUUCGGGUUGUAAAGCACUUUCAGCGAGGAGGAAAGGGCGAUGGUUAAUAACUAUCGUCUGUGACGUUACUCGCAGAAGAAGCACCGGCUAACUCCGUGCCAGCAGCCCGGUAAUACGGAGGGUGCGAGCGUUAAUCGGAAUUACUGGGCGUAAAGCGCGCGUAGGUGGUUAAUUAAGUCAGAUGUGAAAGCCCAGGGCUCAACCUUGGAACUGCAUUUGAAACUGGUUAACUAGAGUUUUGUAGAGGGUGGUAGAAUUUCAGGUGUAGCGGUGAAAUGCGUAGAGAUCUGAAGGAAUACCAGUGGCGAAGGCGGCCACCUGGACAAGGACUGACACUGAGGCGCGAAGGCGUGGGGAGCAAACGGGAUUAGAUACCCCGGUAGUCCACGCAGUAAACGAUGUCUAUUAGAAGUUUGUGGCUAUAUGCCGUGGGUUUCAAAGCUAACGCAUUAAAUAGACCGCCUGGGGAGUACGGCCGCAAGGUUAAAACUCAAAUGAAUUGACGGGGGCCCGCACAAGCGGUGGAGCAUGUGGUUUAAUUCGAUGCAACGCGAAGAACCUUACCAUCCCUUGACAUCCAGAGAGUCACCUAGAGAUAGAUGAGUGCCUUCGGGAACUCUGAGACAGGUGCUGCAUGGCUGUCGUCAGCUCGUGUUGUGAAAUGUUGGGUUAAGUCCCGCAACGAGCGCAACCCUUAUCCUUAGUUGCCAGCACGUAAUGGUGGGAACUCUAGGGAGACUGCCGGUGAUAAACCGGAGGAAGGUGGGGACGACGUCAAGUCAUCAUGGCCCUUACGGGAUGGGCUACACACGUGCUACAAUGGCAAAUACAAAGGGUUGCUAACCUGCGAGGGUAUGCGAAUCUCAUAAAGUUUGUCGUAGUCCGGAUCGGAGUCUGCAACUCGACUCCGUGAAGUUGGAAUCGCUAGUAAUCGUGGAUCAGAAUGCCACGGUGAAUACGUUCCCGGGCCUUGUACACACCCCCCGUCACACCAUGGGAGUGGGCUGCACCAGAAGUCAUUAGCUUAACCUUUCGGGGAUGGCGAUGACCACGGUGUGGUUCAUGACUGGGGUGAAGUCGGAACAAGGUA